CAUCAUCCCAGAUUCAUAGAACAGUUUUAGACAAAUUCAGUGUUGAUUAAAUAACUGAUAAAAUUAAAUAAAAGAGCUUGCUAGGGCCUAGACAAGUGGAAGAAGAAAUAAAACACUCUAUUAGAAGAGGCAGGGAGAAGAGAAACCACUGAGGGCUGGAGGAGGAGAAGGCAGGAAGCCUAUUUCUAUUGAGCAUUGUUAUAUAUCAGGCACUGUGCCAGGUGCUUUACAUACCUUAUCCCAUCUAACCCUGAGAACAACGCUGAAGUAGGUUCUGUUGCUCUCAUAUUGCAGAUACAAAAAUUAAUGUUGAGAGGGGAGGUGUCAAGAUGAUGGAAUAGGAGGAUGCAGAAUUCCUCUCUCCUCACAAGCACAUCCAGAAUACAUCUAUAAAUGGGACAGUUCUCACAGAACACCUGCUGAACAUUUGUGGAAGACUUCAGACAACUUAAAGGACAAGAAAAAUUCCCUUGCAAUCAGAUAUGCAGAUGACAUCAGAUAUACAGAUGACACCACCCUUAUGUAGAAAGUGAAGAGGAACUAAAGAGCCUCUGGAUGAAUGUGAAAGAGGAAAGUGAAAAAGUUGGCUUAAAACUCAACAUUCAAAAAAUGAAGAUCAUGACAUCUGGUCCCAUCACUUCAUGGCAAAUAGAUGGGAAAAAAAUGAAACAAUGACAGACUUUAUUUGCUUGGGCUCCAAAAUCACUGUGGAUGGUGAUAUGAAAUUAAAAGACACUUGCUUUUGGGAAGCAAAGCUAUGAAAAACCUAGACCACAUAUUAAAAAGCAGAGACAUUACUUUGCUGUUGAAGGUCCAUAUAGUCAAAGCUGUUUUUUUUCCAGUAUUCAUGUAUGGAUGUGAGACUUGGACCAUAAAGAAGGCUGAGCAUCAAAGAAUUGAUGGUUUUGAACUGUGGUAUUGGAGAAGACUCUUGAGAAUCCCUUGGACAGCAAGGAGAUCAAACCAGUCCAUUCUAAAAGAAAUCAACCCUGGAUAUUCAUUGGAAGGACUGAUGCUGAAGCUGAAGCUCCAAUACUUUGGUCACCUGAUGUGAAGGGCUGACUCAAUGGAAAAGACCCUGAUGCUGGUAUAGACUGAAGGCAGGAGGAGAAGGUGACAACAGAGGAUGAGAUGGUUGGAUGGUAUCACUGAUUCCAAGGACAUGAUUUGAGCAAGCUCUGGAAAAUGGUGAUGGACAGGGAAGCCUGGCAUGCUGCAGUCCAUGGGGUUGCAAAGAGUUGGAGAUGACUGAACAACAAUUUUUAUUUUACUUUGGAAUGUAGUUGAUUCACAAUAUUGUGUUAGUUUCAGUUGUAC
ensembl:lncRNA